ACGUAGGGUGCAAGCGUUAAUCGGAAUUACUGGGCGUAAAGCGUGCGCAGGCGGUUGUGCAAGACAGGUGUGAAAUCCCCGGGCUUAACCUGGGAACUGCACUUGUGACUGCACGGCUUGAGUGCGGCAGAGGGGGAUGGAAUUCCGCGUGUAGCAGUGAAAUGCGUAGAUAUGCGGAGGAACACCGAUGGCGAAGGCAAUCCCCUGGGCCUGCACUGACGCUCAUGCACGAAAGCGUGGGGAGCAAACAGGAUUAGAUACCCUGGUAGUCCACGCCCUAAACGAUGCUGACUAGUUGUUGGGAAUUUACAUUCUCAGUAACGUAGCUAACGCGUGAAGUCAGCCGCCUGGGGAGUACGGUCGCAAGAUUA
rnacentral:rRNA from 1 species